UAAGGAAUAUUGGUCAAUGGACGCAAGUCUGAACCAGCCAUGCCGCGUGGAGGAUGAAGGUCCUCUGGAUUGUAAACUUCUUUUAUCUGGGAAGAAAUGUGCGCUUUCUAGCGUAUUUGACGGUACCAGAUGAAUAAGCACCGGCUAACUCCGUGCCAGCAGCCGCGGUAAUACGGAGGGUGCAAGCGUUAUCCGGAUUCACUGGGUUUAAAGGGUGCGUAGGCGGAACUGUAAGUCCGUGGUGAAAUCUCCGAGCUUAACUCGGAAACUGCCGUGGGUACUGUGGUUCUUGAAUGUUGUGGAGGUUUGCGGAAUAUGUCAUGUAGCGGUGAAAUGCUUAGAUAUGACAUAGAACACCGAUUGCGAAGGCAGCAGGCUACACAAAUAUUGACGCUGAGGCACGAAAGCGUGGGGAUCAAA
rnacentral:rRNA from 1 species